UUGGAUCGUGGCGACGUGGGCGGUCCGCUGCCGGCGACGUCGCGAGAAUUCCACUGAACCUUAUCAUUUAGAGGAAGGAGAAGUCGUAACAAGGUUUCCGUAGGUGAACCUGCGGAAGGAUCAUUGUCGAACCCUGCAAGGCAGAACGACCCGUGAACACGUAAAUACAAUUGGGCAAUUGGGAUAAUGGCAAUUGUCGUUAUCCUUAUCCCUUCCUGGCAUGCGUUUGUGGCGCCUUGUAUAGGGUGCCAUGGAUGUCACGUCGGACCAUAACAAACCCCGGCACGGCAUGUGCCAAGGAAAACAAAAAAAUAAGAAGGACGCAUCCUGUGUUGCCCCGUUUGCGGUGUGCAUGCAGGUCGUGGCCUCUUAGUAAAUACAAACGACUCUCGGCAACGGAUAUCUCGGCUCACGCAUCGAUGAAGAACGUAGCAAAAUGCGAUACUUGGUGUGAAUUGCAGAAUCCCGUGAACCAUCGAGUUUUUGAACGCAAGUUGCGCCCGAAGCCAUCCGGCUAAGGGCACGCCUGCCUGGGCGUCACACAUCGUGUUGUCCCCCACCAUAUCUACCCAGUGGGUAGUACUCAUGGUGAUGGGGGCGGAGAUUGGUCUCCCGUACUCGGUUGCGGUUGGCCUAAAAAGGAGUCCCCUUCAGCGGACACACGACUAGUGGUGGUUGAACUGACCCUUGUCUUUAUCGUGUGUCAAGAGCUGCUUGGGAAACCCUCAUCACUGACCCGAUCGUAUCGUUUUAAGACGGUGCUUCGACUGCGACCCCAGGUCAGGCGGGACUACCCGCUGAGUUUAAGCAUAUCAAUAAGCGGAG
rnacentral:rRNA from 1 species